GACGAACGUUGGCGGCGUGCCUAAUACAUGCAAGUCAAUUGAAAUACCGGUAGCAAUACUGGUAUGGAGGUGGCGCACGGGUGAGUAACACGUAGGUAAUCUGCCUUCAGGUCUGACAUAACCCAUCGAAAGGUGAGCUAAUAUCAGAUGAUGCAGCGGCUUGACAUCAAGACAGUUGCUAAAGCUUCGGCGCCUGAAGAUGAGCCNGCGUCUGAUUAGCUAGUUGGCGGGGUAACGGCCCACCAAGGCUGCGAUCAGUAGCUGGUCUGAGAGGAUGAUCAGUCACACUGGAACUGAGACACGGUCCAGACUCCUACGGGAGGCAGCAGUAAGAAUAUUGCUCAAUGGCCGAAAGGCUGAAGCAGCAACGCCGCGUGAGGGA
rnacentral:rRNA from 1 species